GACGAACGCUGGCGGCGUGCUUAACACAUGCAAGUCGAACGGUAAGGCCCCUUCGGGGGUACACGAGUGGCGAACGGGUGAGUAACACGUGAGCAACCUGCCCUUGACUCCGGAAUAACAGCUGGAAACAGCUGCUAAUACCAGAUACGACUCAGUGCGACAUCGCAUCGAGUGGAAAGCCCUGGCGGUCAAGGAUGGGCUCGCGGCCUAUCAGCUUGUUGGUGAGGAACGGCUCACCAAGGCUUCGACGGGUAGCCGGCCUGAGAGGGCGACCGGCCACACUGGGACUGAGAUACGGCCCAGACUCCUACGGGAGGCAGCAGUGGGGAAUAUUGCACAAUGGGCGAAAGCCUGAUGCAGCAACGCCGCGUGCGGGAUGACGGCCU
rnacentral:rRNA from 1 species